rnacentral:rRNA from 1 species
AACGAACGCUGGCGGCAUGCCUAACACAUGCAAGUCGAACGAGACCUUCGGGUCUAGUGGCGCACGGGUGCGUAACGCGUGGGAAUCUGCCCUUGGGUGCGGAAUAACUUCUCGAAAGGGAUGCUAAUACCGCAUAAUGUCGUAAGACCAAAGAUUUAUCGCCCAAGGAUGAGCCCGCGUAAGAUUAGCUAGUUGGUGGGGUAAAAGCCUACCAAGGCGACGAUCUUUAGCUGGUCUGAGAGGAUGAUCAGCCACACUGGGACUGAGACACGGCCCAGACUCCUACGGGAGGCAGCAGUGGGGAAUUUUACGCAAUGGGCGAAAGCCUGACGUAGCGACACCGCGUGAGCGAAGAAGCCCCUUGGGGUGUAAAGCUCUGUCAGCUGGAACGAAAAAAAUGACGGUACCAGCAGAGGAAGCAUCGGCUAACUCCGUGCCAGCAGCCGCGGUAAU